GCUGCUUCUUUCCUCGCAGAUAGAUGAGCUCUCCCUCUCGCUGCCCAUUGCUGCCUCCGCUCUGAGCACGGCACGGAUGCGGAGACCGGUGGGAAGGGAGGUGGCACUGGGAAGAAGAGCAGGAUCUGGAGGUGCCUUGAUGGAGGAGCCUGAUGUCCAGAGAACGUUCCCCACUUUCUGUGUCAGAAGUGGCUCCAAAUGAUCAAUCACGGUGCAGAAACCACAUGAGCAGCGCAAAUCUUGGCAAACGAAGUGUGUCAAAUCAUCUGGGGACUAAUUACCUGGUUGCUGCAUCUGGAAAUAAAUGACCAAUGCGUGGGUUUAGGAAAGAUCCCACAGAUGAUGCAGCCUGGUAUGGUAGAUCACCCACCCACCUGCUCUGAAGCCAACAACAGGUAGCUCAACCCUGCAAAGUCAGAGGGAUGAGGAUGGUCACCCCUGCUGGCUGCCACAGAAGAUCCUCAUGAUGUCCUAAUGAGUUUCUUAAUAUUAUAGACUUCUAUCACCCCCGGUGUUUUUAACUGCACUAUUUUUGAUGCACGUUGCAUUUAGAAAUACGCUGGGAUCUUUUAUUAUAUGUUAGCCAUGCAAUAGCUGUUAAAUUGUAUUAGUUAUUGACCUUAGCAGCAAUAAACUGUAGCAAGAGUAGUCCAUGGUAAACACUGCUAAAUCAUAAUCAGCUGGCAUAGUGAUGGUAUUUCGGACAAUUUGUACCAUGCUCUGUAAAGUGCACUUGAUCACAGUA